ensembl:lncRNA
GCGGGACCUGUAACAAAUUCAACAGAAUCUUGAAUAUUUUCAAUACUAUGUACAAAGGACUACAACACAUCUGUCUCCUCACAAGGCAGCAGGAUAUUCUUUAUUAUGUACAAAGGACUACAACACUUCUGUCUCCUGACAAGGCAGCAAGAUAUUCUUUAUGUACAAAGGACUACAACACUUCUGUCUCCACACAAGGCAGCAGGAUAUUCUUGAGCUCCUUAACAGUUACAUUUUGACUAGAUUAAUUCCACAAGGCUAAAUAAGGCAGAGGGGGAAGGGAGUCAGUAGCUAAGAUGCAUGACAGCAAAGAAAUGAAUAUAAAAGCUGUUCAAAAUCAAUAUUCAGCUUUGUUAGAGUAGCUAGUUAUAUUGAAAAAGUGAUACAGCGUCCGCUCAUUUUGUGCCACAUCAGAGAAUCCAUUUGAAGAGGCUGGAGUAGUCUAACUGAUAAUGUAGAAACAAAGUAUUAAAGGAAAUAGAUAAACGGCUCAUAUCAUAUCAAGUGCCAAAUAUUUUUUAGUGAUAGUUGGGAGGUUCUCAUUCUGACUCUUGACACUUGACCUCCUCAUUCUGUAUGCUGUUAUAGCCUAUAUAAAAUAUCAUAAACCACAUAUGUUGACAGCAACUCAACCAUAAGCAACAUGUAAAAUUGUAAAAUUGAAGUAAUCCUGUUUGUUGAACAGGUUGAUGACAAAGCUGUGACCAGAGAAUGCAUACUAUUUACAUGCUCCUAUUUUUUAGGUUCUUGCUUUUUUCAUUCAUCAUAUAACUUUUAUCUACAAAUGUAUAUACAUAAGAUUUUGGAAGGACAGGCAAGGCCAGCCUAAAAUGUACAAACACUCUCCCAACAGAUUCUGAUUCUUCAGUUAUAUCUGUGUUGUUAAAAUUCCUAGGCGUUUUAGUGCUAUAAAUAUAUAAGUACGAGUUACUGGAUAACUCUUGGGUUAAAACGUUCAAGUCAGAUAAAUAAAUAUUUAACUAUUGGUCGCCAUGAAUACGGGUGCCUGUAUCUGUAUAUUGGAGAAACAGCAGGGGGCACCAUGGCAACCAUUACGAAACAGAACAGACCCAUGGAAACAUUUCACCCAUUUUUUAAGUAAUAUAAAGGUUGUUUUUCUAUUAAAAUAUAUGAAAUUGCACAUAUCUUUUCAUCUGCAUCAUCCCAUUCAUGAUAAAUUCAAAC